rnacentral:rRNA from 1 species
AUUGAACGCUGGCGGCAGGCUUAACACAUGCAAGUCGAGCGGGGGAAGGUAGCUUGCUACCGGACCUAGGGGCGGACGGGUGAGUAAUGCUUAGGAAUCUGCCUAUUAGUGGGGGACAACAUCUCGAAAGGGAUGCUAAUACCGCAUACGUCCUACGGGAGAAAGCAGGGGAUCUUCGGACCUUGCGCUAAUAGAUGAGCCUAAGUCGGAUUAGCUAGUUGGUGGGGUAAAGGCCUACCAAGGCGACGACCUGUAGCGGGUCUGAGAGGAUGAUCCGCCACAAUGGGACUGAGACACGGCCCAGACUCCUACGGGAGGCAGCAGUGGGGAAUAUUGGACAAUGGGGGGAACCCUGAUCCAGCCAUGCCGCGUGUGUGAAGAAGGCCUUAUGGUUGUAAAGCACUUUAAGCGAGGAGGAGGCUACUCUAGUUAAUACCUAGGGAUAGUGGACGUUACUCGCAGAAUAAGCACCGGCUAACUCUGUGCCAGCAGCCGCAGUAA